rnacentral:rRNA from 1 species
GAUGAACGCUGGCGGCGUGCUUAACACAUGCAAGUCGGACGGGAAGGGGUGUUUCUUGUGGCGGGCGGGUGAGUAACGCGGAAGAACCUGCCCUGGGGAGGGGAACAACAGCUGGAAACGGCCGCUAAGACACCGUAGGCUGAGGCGCAAAAGGUGGACUCCGCCAGAGGAGGGGCUGGCUUCUGAUUGGGUAGUUGGGGAGGCAAGAGGCUACGAAGGCGAUGAGCAGUGGCGCGUCCGAGAGGGUGAUCAGCCAGACUGGGGCUGUGACGCGGGCCAGCCUCCUGCGGGAGGCAGCAGUGGAUAAUGCUCCGCAGUCGGCGACCGCCUGACGGAGCACCGCCGCGUGGAUGUCGGCGUCCUACUGGUCGUCCACUUCUUUUCCCGGAGAAGAGUCAAUGACGGUAACUGGUGAAUAAGCAUCGGCUAACUCUGUG